GAUGAAGAACGUAGCGAAAUGCGAUACGUAAUGUGAAUUGCAGAAUUCAGUGAAUCAUCGAAUCUUUGAACGCAUAUUGCGCUCUCUGUAUUCCGGAGAGCAUGCUUGUUUGAGUAUCAGUAAACACCUCAACUCCCUUUUCUUUUUUGAAAUUGGAGCUGGACUUGAGUGAUCCCAACGCUUUUUUCCAAGAAAGUGGCGGGUUGCUUGAAAUGCAGGUGCAGCUGAACUUUUCUCUGAGCUAUAAGCAUAUCUAUUUAGUCUGCCUAAAAAACAGAUUAUUACCUUUGCUGCAGCUAACAUAAAGGAGACUAGUUCUUGUGCUGACUGAUGCAGGAUUCACAGAGACAGCUUCGGCUGACUUUGUAAACUCGAUCUCAAAUCAAGUAAGACUACCCGCUGAACUUAAGCAUAUCAAUAAGCGGAGGA
rnacentral:misc_RNA from 1 species